rnacentral:rRNA from 1 species
GCAGGCCUAACACAUGCAAGUCGAGCGGUAGCACAGAGAGCUUGCUCUCGGGUGACGAGCGGCGGACGGGUGAGUAAUGUCUGGGAAACUGCCUGAUGGAGGGGGAUAACUACUGGAAACGGUAGCUAAUACCGCAUAAUGUCGCAAGACCAAAGUGGGGGACCUUCGGGCCUCAUGCCAUCAGAUGUGCCCAGAUGGGAUUAGCUAGUAGGUGGGGUAAUGGCUCACCUAGGCGACGAUCCCUAGCUGGUCUGAGAGGAUGACCAGCCACACUGGAACUGAGACACGGUCCAGACUCCUACGGGAGGCAGCAGUGGGGAAUAUUGCACAAUGGGCGCAAGCCUGAUGCAGCCAUGCCGCGUGUGUGAAGAAGGCCUUCGGGUUGUAAAGCACUUUCAGCGGGGAGGAAGGCGUUAAGGUUAAUAACCUUGGCGAUUGACGUUACCCGCAGAAGAAGCACCGGCUAACUCCGUGCCAGCAGCCGCGGUAAUACGGAGGGUGCAAGCGUUAAUCGGAAUUACUGGGCGUAAAGCGCACGCAGGCGGUCUGUCAAGUCGGAUGUGAAAUCCCCGGGCUCAACCUGGGAACUGCAUUCGAAACUGGCAGGCUAGAGUCUUGUAGAGGGGGGUAGAAUUCCAGGUGUAGCGGUGAAAUGCGUAGAGAUCUGGAGGAAUACCGGUGGCGAAGGCGGCCCCCUGGACAAAGACUGACGCUCAGGUGCGAAAGCGUGGGGAGCAAACAGGAUUAGAUACCCCGGUAGUCCACGCCGUAAACGAUGUCGAUUUGGAGGUUGUGCCCUUGAGGCGUGGCUUCCGGAGCUAACGCGUUAAAUCGACCGCCUGGGGGGUACGGCCGCAAGGUUAAAACUCAAAUGAAUUGACGGGGGCCCGCACAAGCGGUGGAGCAUGUGGUUUAAUUCGAUGCAACGCGAAGAACCUUACCUGGUCUUGACAUCCACAGAACUUAGCAGAGAUGCUUUGGUGCCUUCGGGAACUGUGAGACAGGUGCUGCAUGGCUGUCGUCAGCUCGUGUUGUGAAAUGUUGGGUUAAGUCCCGCAACGAGCGCAACCCUUAUCCUUUGUUGCCAGCGGUUAGGCCGGGAACUCAAAGGAGACUGCCAGUGAUAAACUGGAGGAAGGUGGGGAUGACGUCAAGUCAUCAUGGCCCUUACGACCAGGGCUACACACGUGCUACAAUGGCAUAUACAAAGAGAAGCGACCUCGCGAGAGCAAGCGGACCUCAUAAAGUAUGUCGUAGUCCGGAUUGGAGUCUGCAACUCGACUCCAUGAAGUCGGAAUCGCUAGUAAUCGUAGAUCAGAAUGCUACGGUGAAUACGUUCCCGGGCCUUGUACACACCGCCCGUCACACCAUGGGAGUGGGUUGCAAAAGAAGUAGGUAGCUUAACCUUCGGGAGGGCGCUUACCACUUUGUGAUUCAUGACUGGGGUG